rnacentral:rRNA from 1 species
AGAGUUUGAUCCUGGCUCAGGACGAACGCUGGCGGCGUGCUUUACACAUGCAAGUCGAACGAUGAUGGGGUGCUUGCAUCCUUGAUUAGUGGCGAACGGGUGAGUAACACGUGAGUAACCUGCCCCAGACUCUGGGAUAACUCCGGGAAACCGGGGCUAAUACUGGAUAUCACUUCCUGAUGCAUGUCGGGUUGUUGAAAGGGUUUCUGGUCUGGGAUGGGCUCGCGGCCUAUCAGCUUGUUGGUGGGGUGAAGGCCUACCAAGGCGAUGACGGGUAGCCGGCCUGAGAGGGUGACCGGCCACACUGGGACUGAGACACGGCCCAGACUCCUACGGGAGGCAGCAGUGGGGAAUAUUGCACAAUGGGCGAAAGCCUGAUGCAGCGACGCCGCGUGAGGGAUGACGGCCUUCGGGUUGUAAACCUCUUUCAGUAGGGAAGAAGCUUUCGGGUGACGGUACCCGCAGAAGAAGCGCCGGCUAACUACGUG